AGCGAACGCUGGCGGCAGGCCUAACACAUGCAAGUCGAACGAACCUUUCGGGGUUAGUGGCGGACGGGUGAGUAACACGUGGGAACGUGCCUUUAGGUCCGGAAUAACUCAGGGAAACUUGUGCUAAUACCGAAUGUGCCCUUCGGGGGAAAGAUUUAUCGCCUUUAGAGCGGCCCGCGUCUGAUUAGCUAGUUGGUUGAGGUAAUGGCUCACCAAGGCGACGAUCAGUAGCUGGUCUGAGAGGAUGAUCAGCCACAUUGGGACUGAGACACGGCCCAAACUCAUAGGGGCGGCAGGGGGGGGGAAUCUUGCGCAGUGGUGGCACUCCGGACGCACCCCUGCCGCGUGAGUGCGGGAGGUCUUAGGGUUGUAAAACUCUUUCACCGGGGCAGAUAAUGGCAGCCCCCGGCGAAGACGCCCCGGAUAACUUCGCGCAAGCGGCCGUGGUAAGAGCUGUGAAUAACACUCGUCUAAC
rnacentral:rRNA from 1 species